GCCCAGACUCCUACGGGAGGCAGCAGUGAGGAAUAUUGGUCAAUGGGCGGAAGCCUGAACCAGCCAAGUCGCGUGAGGGAUUAAGGCCCUGCGGGUCGUAAACCUCUUUUGCCGGGGAGCAAGCGUGCGUUCGUGAACGCGCGUCGAGAGUACCCGGAGAAAAAGCAUCGGCUAACUCCGUGCCAGCAGCCGCGGUAAUACGGAGGAUGCGAGCGUUAUCCGGAUUUAUUGGGUUUAAAGGGUGCGUAGGCGGGAUGCCAGGUCAGCGGUAAAAAUGCGGUGCUCAACGCCGUCGAGCCGUUGAAACUGGCGUUCUUGAGUGGGCGAGAAGUAUGCGGAAUGCGUGGUGUAGCGGUGAAAUGCAUAGAUAUCACGCAGAACUCCGAUUGCGAAGGCAGCAUACCGGCGCCCUACUGACGCUGAGGCACGAAAGCGUGGGUAUCGAACAGGAUUAGAUCCCCCAGUA
rnacentral:rRNA from 1 species